rnacentral:rRNA from 1 species
UGAGGAAUAUUGGUCAAUGGGCGAGAGCCUGAACCAGCCAAGUAGCGUGCAGGAUGACGGCCCUAUGGGUUGUAAACUGCUUUUAUGUGGGGAUAAAGUGCGUGACGUGUCAUGCAUUGCAGGUACCACAUGCAUAAGGACCGGCUAAUUCCGUGCCAGCAGCCGCGGUAAUACGGAAGGUCCGGGCGUUAUCCGGAUUUAUUGGGUUUAAAGGGAGCGUAGGCUGUCUAUUAAGCGUGUUGUGAAAUUUACCGGCUCAACCGGUGGCUUGCAGCGCGAACUGGUCGACUUGAGUAUGCAGGAAGUAGGCGGAAUUCAUGGUGUAGCGGUGAAAUGCUUAGAUAUCAUGACGAACUCCGAUUGCGCAGGCAGCUUACUGUAGCAUAACUGACGCUGAUGCUCGAAAGUGCGGGUAUCAAACAGG